CAGCAGCCGCGGUAAAACGUAGGGUGCAAGCGUUAAUCGGAAUUACUGGGCGUAAAGCGUGCGCAGGCGGUUUUGUAAGACAGAGGUGAAAUCCCCGGGCUCAACCUGGGAACUGCCUUUGUGACUGCAAGGCUGGAGUGCGGCAGAGGGGGAUGGAAUUCCGCGUGUAGCAGUGAAAUGCGUAGAUAUGCGGAGGAACACCGAUGGCGAAGGCAAUCUCCUGGGCCUGCACUGACGCUCAUGCACGAAAGCGUGGGGAGCAAACAGGAUUAGAUACCCGGGUAGUCCCUGUCUCUUAUAC
rnacentral:rRNA from 1 species